UACGUAGGGUGCGAGCGUUAAUCGGAAUUACUGGGCGUAAAGCGUGCGCAGGCGGUUUGCUAAGACAGGUGUGAAAUCCCCGGGCUCAACCUGGGAACUGCGCUUGUAACUAGCAGGCUAGAGUGCGGCAGAGGGGGGUGGAAUUCCACGUGUAGCAGUGAAAUGCGUAGAUAUGUGGAGGAACACCGAUGGCGAAGGCAGCCCCCUGGGUCGACACUGACGCUCAUGCACAAAAGCGUGGGGAGCAAACAGG
rnacentral:rRNA from 1 species